rnacentral:rRNA from 1 species
GACGAACGCUGGCGGCGUGCCUAAUACAUGCAAGUGGGACGCAAGGGAACACACUGUGCUUGCACACCGUGUUUUCUUGAGUCGCGAACGGGUGAGUAACGCGUAGGUAACCUGCCUAUUAGCGGGGGAUAACUAUUGGAAACGAUAGCUAAUACCGCAUAAUAUUAAUUAUUGCAUGAUAAUUGAUUGAAAGAUGCAAGCGCAUCACUAGUAGAUGGACCUGCGUUGUAUUAGCUAGUUGGUAAGGUAAGAGCUUACCAAGGCGACGAUACAUAGCCGACCUGAGAGGGUGAUCGGCCACACUGGGACUGAGACACGGCCCAGACUCCUACGGGAGGCAGCAGUAGGGAAUCUUCGGCAAUGGACGAAAGUCUGACCGAGCAACGCCGCGUGAGUGAAGAAGGUUUUCGGAUCGUAAAGCUCUGUUGUAAGUCAAGAACGUGUGUGAGAGGGAAAGUUCACAC